UUUGCUCGCUACUGGGGCUUAGCUGCAAAAUAUGGUACCUUCUGGUCAUGAUAUGUUUUAAUAUAUCAUUGGAAUUGUCUUUCCAUUUUCAAAUUUUGAUUGGUUCCGUUUGUUCUCCAUGUAUUAUGAGGAAACAUAACGAAGCCUAUUCUUCAUAUUUUUCUGGGUAUGACUUCUUGAUAUGGAUGAAAUUGGAGAAUACCAUUUGAAAUCAUUCACCUCUAAACUUAUAAUGGCAGUACUAUUUUGUCCUUAUAUGGAUUUCUGAUAUGAAAUGACUUAUUAUAUUCUAAUAUUAAAUUUUAAAAUAUUCACAUGGGAUUUGAAGAUGGUAUGUAGUUUGAUUAUUCUGCCUCUGAACUGGCACGACGUGUGCAUCAGCUGACUUUAUUUUCUACUUAUCUCUGGAUUUUGAGAAAUUAUAUACUAAAGCAGUUAUUCCAUGUAAUCAAUCUACGUGGAAUUGCUAGCCAAUUAAAAAUAGAAACAUAUGCUAAUAGAUUUAUCAAGAUUUUUUUUUUUUAAAAACUGCUCGGUAGUUAUUGUUUUAUGGGACCCACUAUUAGGUAAUUAUUAUUUUAUGGAACCCACAGAUAUAUGUAUGUGUGUCUAUAUUUUUUUAGCUUGCCAUUACAUGUAGAUUAUCCUACAUAGAAUCACAGUGGUAUAUGAAGUUCCUCCAGUGACAUUUUUUUCUGUUCUUGUUUAGGCAUCUGUGCAGAUGUUGCUGUGUCAAAACAUGAAUAUUGGUCAUCCUUAGCACCUCUUCCAUUUGAGGUUGUUGUUUCUGCUGGACAAAAGGCAAAAGAGGAAUGUUGGGAAAAAGGUGAUGGUGACAAUGAAAAGAGAAGCAAACUUGCUGUUGACCUGAGUGAUCUAACUGGAGAAGGAAAUAUUGAGAGUAUG
rnacentral:misc_RNA from 1 species